UCAGGAUGCUGCAUAAAAUGGUCUAAGCUAGAGCCUAGAAUGUUAAUUUCUUGUGAAUAUGCUGCAGGGAACUGACGGGGAGCAGUUUUUCUUACCAAUCAUAGAAGCAGUAAGAGACAGCCAAAGAAGUACUCAAACACCUGACAUACCCAGAAAGAUCUAGAAGAAAAGAUUGGAACAGAUUGUAGCUUAAUUGUUAAAACUAUUUAAGUGAAUUUAAGCUGCACUUGAACUGUAUUUUUUAAAUAAAAUAUCUGAAGUAUUUAA